UUGCUACAAUGAUGAUCGCAUAGUUCAACAGAUUUUCUAUGACGAAUAAGUUGUCUUUCGCUCCUAUCUGAUGUAUUGG
rnacentral:snoRNA from 1 species